rnacentral:rRNA from 1 species
GUCCACGCCGUAAACGGUGGGCACUAGGUGUGGGAUUCACUCAACGGAUUCCGUGCCGCAGCUAACGCAUUAAGUGCCCCGCCUGGGGAGUACGGCCGCAAGGCUAAAACUCAAAGGAAUUGACGGGGGCCCGCACAAGCGGCGGAGCAUGUUGCUUAAUUCGAGGCAACGCGAAGAACCUUACCUAGGUUUGACAUGUACGGAAAAGCUACAGAGAUGUGGUGUCCUUCGGGGCCGUACACAGGUGGUGCAUGGCUGUCGU